GACGAACCGUGCGAACGUUAUUCGGAAUCACUGGGCUUAAAGGGCGCGUAGGCGGGCAACCAAGUCCGAGGUGAAAUCUCCCGGCCUAACUGGGAGGGGUCUUCGGAUACUGGCGGACUUGAGGAGAGCAGAGGUGAGCGGAAUUUUCGGUGUAGUGGUGAAAUGCGUAGAUAUCGAGAGGAACACCAGCGGCGAAGGCGGCUCACUGGGCUCCACCUGACGCUGAGGCGCGAAAGCGUGGGGAGCAAACCGG
rnacentral:rRNA from 1 species